rnacentral:rRNA from 1 species
GUAGCUGGUCUGAGAGGAUGAACAGCCACACUGGGACUGAGACACGGCCCAGACUCCUACGGGAGGCAGCAGUGGGGAAUAUUGGACAAUGGGGGCAACCCUGAUCCAGCAAUGCCGCGUGUGUGAAGAAGGCCUGAGGGUUGUAAAGCACUUUCAGUGGGGAGGAGGAUUACUAGGUUAAGAGCUGAGUAAUUGGACGUUACCCACAGAAGAAGCACCGGCUAACUCCGUGCCAGCAGCCGCGGUAAUACGGAGGGUGCGAGCGUUAAUCGGAAUGACUGGGCGUAAAGGGUGCGUAGGUGGUUUAUUAAGUUGUUGGUGAAAUCUCCGGGCUUAACCUGGGGUUGACGAAUAAAACUGAUGAACUCGAGUAUAG